AUUGGGGAAUCUUCCGCAAUGGGCGAAAGCCUGACGGAGCAACGCCGCGUGAGGGAUGAAGGCCUCUGGGCUGUAAACCUCUUUUAUCAAGGAAGAAGAUCUGACGGUACUUGAUGAAUAAGCCACGGCUAAUUCCGUGCCAGCAGCCGCGGUAAUACGGGAGUGGCAAGCGUUAUCCGGAAUUAUUGGGCGUAAAGCGUCCGCAGGCGGUCUUGUAAGUCUGUCGUUAAAGCGUGGAGCUUAACUCCAUUUAAGCGAUGGAAACUGCAAGACUAGAGUGUGGUAGGGGCAGAGGGAAUUCCCGGUGUAGCGGUGAAAUGCGUAGAUAUCGGGAAGAACACCAGUGGCGAAGGCGCUCUGCUGGGCCAUAACUGACGCUCAUGGACGAAAGCCAGGGGAGCGAAAGGGAUUAGAUACCCCUGUAGUCAAU
rnacentral:rRNA from 1 species